rnacentral:rRNA from 2 species
ACGGGAGGCAGCAGUGAGGAAUAUUGCGCAAUGGGGGAAACCCUGACGCAGCGACGCCGCGUGAAGGAUGAAGGUCUUCGGAUUGUAAACUUCUGUCUUCAGGGAAGAAAUAAAUGACGGUACCUGGGGAGGAAGCCCCGGCUAACUACGUGCCAGCAGCCGCGGUAAUACGUAGGGGGCGAGCGUUGUCCGGAUUGAUUGGGUGUAAAGGGUGCGUAGGCGGAUAUGUAAGUCAAACGUGAAAACUACAGGCUUAACUUGUAGCUUGCGUUUGAAACUGUGUAUCUUGAGUGAAGUAGAGGUAAGUGGAAUUUCCAGUGUAGCGGUGAAAUGCGUAGAUAUUGGAAGGAACACCAGUGGCGAAGGCGACUUACUGGACUUUUACUGACGCUGAGGCACGAAAGCGUGGGUAGCAAACAGGAUUAGAUACCCUGGUA